CGGAGGAAGGUGGGGAUGACGUCAAAUCAUCCAUGCCCCUUAUGACCUGGGCUACGACACCGUGCUACAAUGGGCGGUACAAAGGGUCGCGAACCCGCGAGGGGGAGCCAAUCCCAAAAAAGCCGCUCUCAGUUCCGGAUUGCAGGCUGCAACUCGCCUGCAUGAAGCCGGAAUCGCUAGUAAUCGCGGAUCAGCAUGCCGCGGUGAAUACGUUCCCGGGCCUU
rnacentral:rRNA from 1 species